AACGAACGCUGGCGGCAGGCUUAGCACAUGCAAGUCGAACGCCCCGCAAGGGGAGUGGCAGACGGGUGAGUAACGCGUGGGAACAUACCCUUUCCUGCGGAAUAGCUCCGGGAAACUGGAAUUAAUACCGCAUACGCCCUACGGGGGAAAGAUUUAUCGGGGAAGGAUUGGCCCGCGUUGGAUUAGCUAGUUGGUGGGGUAAAGGCCUACCAAGGCGACGAUCCAUAGCUGGUCUGAGAGGAUGAUCAGCCACAUUGGGACUGAGACACGGCCCAAACUCCUACGGGAGGCAGCAGUGGGGAAUAUUGGACAAUGGGCGCAAGCCUGAUCCAGCCAUGCCGCGUGAGUGAUGAAGGCCUUAGGGUUGUAAAGCUCUUUCACCGAUGAAGAUAAUGACGGUAGUCGGAGAAGAAGCCCCGGCUAACUUCGUG
rnacentral:rRNA from 1 species